GACGAACGCUGGCGGCGUGCUUAACACAUGCAAGUCGAACGGAAAGGCCCUGCUUUUGUGGGGUUCUCGAGUGGCGAACGGGUGAGUAACACGUGAGUAACCUGCCCUUGACUUUGGGAUAACUUCAGGAGACUGGGGCUAUUAUCGGAUAGGAGCUCCUGCUGCAUGGUGGGGGUUGGAAAGUUUCGGCGGUUGGGGAUGGUCUCGCGGCUUAUCAGCUUGUUGGUGGGGUAGUGGCUGACCAAGGCUGUGACGGGUAGCCGGCCUGAGAGGGGUGCCAGGCACAAUGCGACUGAGAUACGCCCCAGAAGCCUACGGGACGCAGAAGUGGGGAGUAUUACGGAAUGGGCCGAAGCCAGAGACAGCAGCGCCGCGUGCGGGAUACCGGCCUUCGAGGUGUAAACCACUGUCGCCUGUGACGAAGCGUGAGUGACGGUAAUGGGUAAAGAAGCACCGGCUAACUACGUG
rnacentral:rRNA from 1 species